AGAGUUUGAUCCUGGCUCAGGACGAACGCUGGCGGCGUGCUUAACACAUGCAAGUCGAGCGGUAAGGCCUCUUCGGGGGUACACGAGCGGCGAACGGGUGAGUAACACGUGAGUAAUCUGCCCUUCACUUCGGGAUAAGCUUCGGAAACGGGGUCUAAUACCGGAUAUGACAUGGACCUGCAUGGGUUUGUGUGGAAAGUUUUUUCGGUGGGGGAUGUGCUCGCGGCCUAUCAGCUUGUUGGUGGGGUAAUGGCUCACCAAGGCUUUGACGGGUAGCCGGCCUGAGAGGGUGACCGGCCACACUGGGACUGAGACACGGCCCAGACUCCUACGGGAGGCAGCAGUGGGGAAUAUUGCACAAUGGGCGCAAGCCUGAUGCAGCGACGCCGCGUGGGGGAUGACGGCCUUCGGGUUGUAAACCCCUUUCAGCACAGACGAAGCGCGAGUGACGGUAUGUGCAGAAGAAGGACCGGCCAACUACGUGCCAGCAGCCGCGGUAAUACGUAGGGUCCGAGCGUUGUCCGGAAUUACUGGGCGUAAAGAGCUCGUAGGUGGUUUGUCGCGUUGUUCGUGAAAACUCACAGCUCAACUGUGGGCGUGCGGGCGAUACGGGCAGACUAGAGUACUGCAGGGGAGACUGGAAUUCCUGGUGUAGCGGUGGAAUGCGCAGAUAUCAGGAGGAACACCGGUGGCGAAGGCGGGUCUCUGGGCAGUAACUGACGCUGAGGAGCGAAAGCGUGGGGAGCGAACAGGAUUAGAUACCCUAGUAGUCC
rnacentral:rRNA from 1 species